rnacentral:lncRNA from 1 species
GCAUCUUUGUCCUCUGAGAAAAACAGUCUCCCUUCUUACGGAGGCCAGUGGAUUCCAUCCUAGAGGCUGUGUUGACCGUAUCUCCAAAUAGACAAUAACGAGGCAUCUUGAUUCCCACAACUCCAGCAGCACAGGGACCUGAAAUGAAGGACAGAAAGCAGGAAGUGGAGGCAAUAGAAAUUGCAGAGUAGAGUGAAGACAGGUGGCAUUUCUGGGAUUGGUGCCAUGACAAUGGAAGACAGAAGACAAGACAAAGGCAUAACUUUCCGUAAGCAUUUCAUGGACCAGGCGAAUGCAGCUGGAUGGGGAAGCCUGUUGCACAAGGAGGUUCCAACAAGCAGAACAAAAGCCCAGGCUAGACUAUGCGCUGUGGCAUAUUAGUCAGCCUAAACACUGCCCAUUUUUUGGAGGUGAUUUAAGGUAUGCCAUUUUGUCUAAAGUUAAUACUUCAAAUUAAUUCCUGCUGAACUUCCUGUUGUACCUUUUUUGCUGCUUCUUAAAGUUGAAUGGUAAUUUUGACUUCUCACUCCUCUAAUCCUUCUACUUCUCUUCACUUUUAGCUCAGAUUCAACCACCAAUUCACUAAAUGUGAAACUAGAGUGGACAAGAGUAGUAACAGAAACAACCAAUUCAGGCUCUGAUGACCUUGAGUUGUACAAUUAAUGGUUUCAGCCUGUUAGGUGAUGUGGUUACCUUGUAGACAUCAUGAUGAUCAACAAUGUGGUCAAAACUCUUAUAGAUGUCAUUAAGCAUGUCCACCACUUCCAUGGGGGUGCUGUAUUUGCAGAUAGUAGUGAAACCUACAAUGUCACUGAAGUAGAUUGUAACUUCCUCAUAUAGUUCCGGCUCCACAAAGCCUUUCUCCUUCAG